rnacentral:lncRNA from 1 species
UUACAUUUUAAUAUUUUAUGAUGUAUUUAAAUGAGUAGUUAUUGUUGCAAACUCCAUUAGAAAUUUGAAUUGAGAUCAGUUUUGGAAAAAGGGAAAGGGGGAUGUGAAAAAAAAAUGGGGGGGGGGGGGGGUUAAAUUUUUCUCAUUUCAGAUUUCAUAAAUAAAAAGAAAAUUUCUUCAAACAUUUUUUUGAGAGGAUUAAUAUUCAACAGCAUAGUGAAUUGCUCAAAGGCAAACAAAAUAUUUUAAGUUCAUUAGACCACAUUCAUUCUGUGUCAGAAACCUAUGCUGUGUCAACUAUUUAAUCACAA